rnacentral:rRNA from 1 species
AUUGAACGCUGGCGGCAGGCUUAACACAUGCAAGUCGAGCGGGCGAGGUUGCUUCGGUAACUGAGCUAGCGGCGGACGGGUGAGUAAUGCUUAGGAAUCUGCCUAUUAGUGGGGGACAACAUUCCGAAAGGGAUGCUAAUACCGCAUACGUCCUACGGGAGAAAGCAGGGGCUCUUUAUGACCUUGCGCUAAUAGAUGAGCCUAAGUCGGAUUAGCUAGUUGGUGGGGUAAAGGCCUACCAAGGCGACGAUCUGUAGCGGGUCUGAGAGGAUGAUCCGCCACACUGGGACUGAUACACGGCCCAGAGUCCUACGGGAGGCAGCAGUGGGGAAUAUUGGACAAUGGGGGUAACCCUGAUCCAGCCAUGCCGCGUGUGUGAAGAAAGCCUUUUGGUUGUAAAGCACUUUAAGCGAGGAGGAGGCUUACCUGGUUAAUACCUAGGAUAAGUGGACGUUACUCGCAGAAUAAGCACCGGCUAACUCUGUGCCAGCAGCCGCGGUAACAC